GCCUGGGUGACUCAGUGGGUUGAGUGUCCGACUUUGGCUCAGGUCAUGAUUUCAUGGUUUGUGAGUUCGAGCCCCGCUUCAGGCU
rnacentral:tRNA from 1 species